AUUUUUUAUAUACUUAUUUUUAUUCACAUAGUAUUUUCUUUCUUCCCUUUUCUCAAAUCCUAAAAUUUUCUUUAGAUUUUAAAUUCCAAUUUGGGUAUUAAUAUAUUUCUUUUUACAUUAUUUUUAUAUUGUCACAAAAUGCACACAAAAUGAAACCUCAAUAUGAUGCAUAUUUCAUUUAAGUGUCAUUAGUUACUUAUAAUCUUUGAAUGGGAUUAUUCUCAUGCUCAAUUAAAUAGAGGCAAAACACUCCUAUUAUAUGAUGUACAAAUUUGGGUAUUACAAGAAGUUAGAACAACUCGAACAAAGUGAAUUCAAGACAUUCAAGAAGAUUCAAAAGAAGAGUCUCGUCUGCCUAAAUCAAUGACUCGACCAAACAAGACUUAUGGGCUAUAGUCAAUAAUAUGUACCAUGGGUACCUAUACCAAGCUUCAAUAAGAAGGACAUGUGUAGAAUGGGUUCAUGGGCUCGGUCGAGUGCCCAGGGAUUUGGCAACCAAGAACAGAAGGAGGCCUACAACUCGUAGGAUUCUAGAAGCACACAUAUGGAAGAUAUCUUAUCAAAAUUGAG
rnacentral:lncRNA from 7 species